CGGGAUGUGGCGCAGUUUGGUAGCGCACAAGUCUGGGGGACUUGGGGUCGCAGGUUCAAAUCCUGUCAUCCCGA
rnacentral:tRNA from 1 species